rnacentral:rRNA from 1 species
UACGGAGGGUGCAAGCGUUAAUCGGAAUUACUGGGCGUAAAGCGCGCGUAGGUGGUGAAGUCAGUCAGAUGUGAAAGCCCAGGGCUUAACCUUGGAAUUGCACCUGAUACUGCUUCGCUAGAGUAUGGUAGAGGGGUGUGGAAUUUCCUGUGUAGCGGUGAAAUGCGUAGAUAUAGGAAGGAACACCAGUGGCGAAGGCGACACCCUGGACCAAUACUGACACUGAGGUGCGAAAGCGUGGGGAGCAAACAGG